UAUCCUGUUAUCUUUGCACAUCUGUCAGUCUGCUAUUAUUUGAUUCUCCCAUGCCAAAUAAGAUUUCGUACCAUGAUGUUAUAGUGGGUAAGGCCUGCAUAAGUGAACCUGAUGAUGUAAAAAUGGCAUUCACACUCGUAAUUUUGUAGAACAAGAUGAAGCCUAAAUGACAAUUUUGCUAAUUCUAUCUUCUUGCUAGAAGAAUUUAUUGUUAGCCUUGUUGGAUAAAGUUAAGUCCAUGAAGAGCAUUUAUGCAAAGAAAGGAAAUUUAAGAGUAAAUGAAAUGGACAAACAAUAUUUUCAGUAUAUAAAAGUAGACAUAAACACAAGAAACAGGGUGCUGGUUUGCUGCCGUUCAAUCAAUGAGUAAGCUGAACUAAACUACCGCUGGCAGAGUUGUGAUUAUUUUGGAGGGAAAAGAGUUCUUGAAUCUUUUUCAUGUUGUAGGCAGAUAAUGCAUGUUCUGUACUGCAUAUAUAUGGCUGGAAGUCAGUCCUUACACGAUUCAUUGUAGGUCACUGGUUUGUAGACCAUAUCAUUCUCAUGCAAUUGUA
rnacentral:misc_RNA from 1 species